UGGUCCAAGUCCAAACUAUAUAACUCAAGCCCAUAUAUUGUAGCCUGGGCAACUUCUGAAACUUAAGCUUAAACCUAAUCAGGAUCUCUUUUUUUUUUUGUUUUGUUUGCCUAAUUGCGCUUCUUUCUUUUGGCCUUCAUCUGUGGAGAAAAAUUGCAGAAAAUUCCUGAAGACCACGCCCUGCUGCUACAUGUAGGGCUAGCAAGUUCCACUGGGAGAUGCAGCUGUAUCAACCUCUGUAGCUAACAACCACCGUACUCAGUAGGCCAACAAUCCUUAAAGUGGAACCACAUGUACGAGCAGCAUAAGUGACCGCUAGAAAAAAGUUAGUUAGCUCUGCAGGAGCCUUCAGAUGGUCUACAAUUUUGGUUUUGCUCUAUCCCACCAUGUUGCAAGCUCAUUCAGAUGUUUCAGGGUACCAGCUUUGCUUGUCCUUUCUCCCUCCUGCUUUGCACCAGUCCUGUGACACCAGCCAUGUCCACCAGACUGAGCAGCCAGGUGUGCAGACUGCGGAGCUGGUGGAUGACAAAGCAUGAAGUUUGUCUAUAAAUGGUGGCUAACCUACAGCAGUUCUUCUCUGGCAAACUUUAUGUUCCUGUCCACAUGCUAAAGCUGCCAGCUGAAGAACUGUUGUGGUCAGCUAUGUCCUGCAACCCCCUUUAGAAAAUGAAGUAAUGAAGCAUCUUGAAGCAUUUACCACCCAAAGCAAAACCAGUGUGUUUGUGAGAACUUUUGUAAAUGCAAAGUAUAAAGCAAUAUUAAAGACAAAUAUGCAGCAUUACACACUGUAUGUAUUCAUUUGAAGAGAUCAAGUUGAUGCACCAACAUUUUAGUUUUAGUAGAAAUAUCUGUUGGAAGUGUUGGUCUGUUUUUAGCCAAAUAAAACCAAGCACCUCAAAUAAAGCCUGAUUUAU
rnacentral:lncRNA from 1 species